rnacentral:rRNA from 1 species
CCUACGGGUGGCAGCAGUGAGGAAUAUUGGUCAAUGGGCGUAAGCCUGAACCAGCCAAGUCGCGUGAGGGAUGAAGGUUCUAUGGAUCGUAAACCUCUUUUAUAAGGGAAUAAAGUGGGGGACGUGUCCUAUUUUGUAUGUACCUUAUGAAUAAGGAUCGGCUAACUCCGUGCCAGCAGCCGCGGUAAUACGGAGGAUCCGAGCGUUAUCCGGAUUUAUUGGGUUUAAAGGGUGCGUAGGUUGUUUUUUAAGUCAGCGGUGAAAGUUUGGGGCUCAACCAUAAGAUUGCCGUUGAAACUGGAAGACUUGAGUGUGGGUGAGGUAGGCGGAAUGCGUGGUGUAGCGGUGAAAUGCAUAGAUAUCACGCAGAACUCCGAUUGCGAAGGCAGCUUACUGGGCCAUAACUGACGCUGAGGCACGAAAGCGUGGGGAUCAAACAGGAUUAGAUACCCUAGUAGUC